GACGAACCGUGCGAACGUUAUUCGGAAUCACUGGGCUUAAAGCGCGUGUAGGCGGGACGGCACGUCCGUCGCUGAAAUCCCCCGGCUCAACCGGGGAACUGGCGGGGAUACGACCGGCCUGGAGGGACGUAGGGGGACCUGGAACUUCCGGUGGAGCGGUGAAAUGCGUUGAGAUCGGAAGGAACGCCCGUGGCGAAAGCGAGGUCCUGGACGUUUUCUGACGCUGAGACGCGAAAGCCAGGGGAGCGAACGGG
rnacentral:rRNA from 1 species